UGCCUGGCGUAGCGGACGGGGGCGGUCCUGGCCCCUCUCUGAGGUGGUGUCUAGGUCGGGAGGCUCCGCUAAUCAAACCUCUGCGCCAUUCCCGCCCCCACCGGCGGGGCGCGGCGCCGAGCAGGGAGGGAGGCGGCGCCCGGCCGCCCUUGCCCGCCCCCCGUUCAGUACAGCGCCGCCCGCCCGCCCGAUCCUCCGAGGGACGCGCAGUGCAGGAGGCCGCGGCCCGGGCAGGAGCCGGGGCUCCGGGCAGCUGCACAGGCGGGAAUGGUGGCCGGGCCGGGCUGAAAGGAGCGGAGCCGCGUCUCGAGGCUGCCAUGAGGCUGCUGCGGGCUCUGCUGAGAGGCGCCUCCCCGGCCGGCCUCCCGCAGCAGGUGGAUUUCUACGCCCGCUUCUCCCCGUCGCCCCUCUCCAUGAAGCAGUUCCUGGACUUCGGGUCUGAAAAUGCUUGUGAAAAGACUUCGUUUAUGUUUUUGAGACAAGAAUUGCCUGUAAGAUUGGCAAACAUAAUGAAAGAAAUAAGUCUGCUUCCAGACAACCUGCUAAAAACACCUUCAGUUCAGCUGGUGCAGAGCUGGUAUGUCCAGAGUCUUCAGGAAAUCCUUGACUUUAAGGAGAAAAGUGCAGAAGAUUCAGAAGUUAUUCAUAGGUUUACAGAUACUGUGAUAACAAUCCGGAACCGACACAAUGACGUAAUUCCUACAAUGGCUCAAGGUGUGAUUGAGUACAAGGAAAGCUUUGGGGUUGAUCCAGUGACCUGUCAGAAUGUGCAGUAUUUUUUAGAUCGUUUCUACAUGAGUCGCAUUUCAAUCAGAAUGCUCCUCAAUCAGCACUCUUUGCUGUUUGGUGGAAAAAUUAAAGUUAAUCCAGCGCAUCCAAAACACAUUGGAAGCAUUAAUCCUAACUGCAAUGUUGUUGAAGUUAUUAAAGAUGGCUAUGAAAAUGCUAAGAGACUUUGUGAUUUGUAUUACAUGAGCUCUCCAGAACUUGUGCUUGAAGAGUUGAAUGCAAAAUCAUCAGGACAACCCAUGCAAGUAGUAUAUGUACCAUCCCAUCUCUAUCACAUGGUUUUUGAACUUUUCAAGAAUGCAAUGAGAGCCACAAUGGAACACUAUACUGAUCGAAGCGUUUACCCUCCAAUUCAAGUACAUGUCACAUUAGGCAAUGAGGAUUUAACUGUGAAGAUAAGCGAUCGUGGUGGCGGUGUUCCGAUGAGGAAAAUUGACGGACUGUUCAACUAUAUGUAUUCAACUGCACCACGUCCCCGUGUUGAGACAUCACGAGCAACACCUCUGGCUGGAUUUGGUUAUGGUUUGCCUAUAUCACGUCUGUACGCACAGUACUUCCAAGGAGAUCUGAAACUGUAUUCAUUAGAGGGGUAUGGUACAGAUGCAGUUAUCUACAUAAAGGCUUUAUCAACAGAAUCAAUCGAAAGGCUCCCUGUGUAUAACAAAUCAGCUUGGAAACGUUAUGUGGAAAACCACGAAGCAGAUGACUGGUGUGUGCCAAGCAGUGAGCCAAAGGACAUGACUACAUUCCGCAGUAUAUAAUUGUACAACAGUCCAGAAAAAGUUUGACCACGGUGUGAGAAGGUUAAUGGAGAGUCCUAUGGUGGUCUCAAUAGAAGCAAGAAAACAAGAAUAUAUAUGUUGUCAAAGCUAAAAAUAAUCCAGAACAAGCAGAAGCUAGGUGGAUUCAGGAACAACUUUCCAGAGUUCACACCAGUGACUAAAUCCACACUUUUGAAGGAGCUGUAGCUCUGACCUUGUCUCGGUGGGUCCCGUGCUUCCAGGCGGAUUACGCUAGCCUCAGAGGCUCACUGUGACUCUCCACGUAGCCCUUCUCUCUCCAGAGGCAAGGGUCACAGCCUACUGAGCCAUUUUCAUCAUAAACCAGCAAGAGAGCCAUCUGGUCUUGCCCCAUCACAGAGCGUAGAUGCCCAAGAACAUAAUGAGACCCUGGAAUCUGCAACAGCUUGUCAGUAUCCUCCAUGAACAACUUCAGUCCAUCAAACAGGAAAUCCUUUACCAUAUUCAGGACUUCUCUGGGGAAACCAGACAACUAUAGCCAAGAUGCCCUGUGCAUUACCACUGCCGUGGAAAUGGAGCAGGCUACAGUGUCUGCAUCAUCCAGAGCUGCCUGGAAAGAUGUCCUCGCCAGUACCUGUCCCUCAGCAAUGGUAGCCUGACAUUAUUCCCUUUGGUCUGGAGGAAAGUGUUGAAUGAAAAAUGAAUUUUGCAUAAUUUUUGAAGUUAUAUUUGGCCAUCAUUUCCUGUAAUUCAUAAUGUGGAAUUUUAUGGUUGUAGAUGAAUAAGAUUUCCUUCCUAAAAGGUCCAGGCACUUCUGGUCUGUCAUACAGUGGGGGUGGGGCACUUAUACCAUUUGUUCACUGGUGUCAACUACCAGAGAGUUGAGUGGAGGGUGGGAAAAUAGAAACUCAGAGUCCUUGGUGGGAACAUAAUACUUUAUCGGCUCUCCCAAAACAUAGGUGUUACUGUGGCCAGAGUUUGCCAAAUGGUUUUUGCAGGUUCCAGCAGAGCCUCAUUGAUAGGAAGGGCAACCCUGGAUGGUGUUGCAGAGUGAACAAUAUCCAACAGCUUCUGUCGUGAUUCUUUGAUCUCCUUGAGAGGUAUCUGUAGGGAGUCUUCCAUGUGUUUAAUGAGGUCUUGAAAUUGCUGACAAUCAUUGGCCGUAGGAGGAAGCGUCAUUACCACCUCUUUGGGUGAUGAGGAUGAGAUGGUAGUCUGAAGGGUGGUUUCUUUAGCUGCCCUUGCCUCCUGAUUCUCAAACCUUUCUUCUUGAGUGGUGUGAUGGGAGAGGAGACGCUUGAGUCUCCACCAUCAUCUCAAUGGGAGUGAGUUGAGGCCUUGGAGAACUGUUGACAAUAAGCUAUCCAGGAGUCCCAUAUGGUUAUUGAGCACCAUAUCCGGGGGCAGGCAUCCAAGGUUGUUUCCACCAAGAAUGAUGAGCUCCCUAGAAAUCCUCUGUCUCUUUGAGAAAGAGGUUCCUAUGUGGGUACACAGGAGAACCUUGGACAGAUAUUAGUGAUACUGAAGGGAGGUCUCCAUCACUCUUCCUCCUCUAAUUGGGGAACUCCAACUGAAAAGGAAGGUUAAUCAGAGAGGUAUAUGAGUCUAUGACAGUGGUUCUCAGUACUGAUGGAGACUCCAGUUCCAUAAGUCCUUUGGGUACUUAAAGUCUUGCAGUACUGAGCAGAAUUGUGGUAACCAUUGUGGUACCAAAGGCGUGGUAUGCUCAUCCCUGCAGAAUGGUACUGAGAAUUUCAAAUGCUUUACAGAAGGCACUGACAUAGAUGGAGACUUAGUCAUACAUGGUACUGAAGAACCCAACAGGGGUACUGGAAGAGGGGUUAAGUCCAGUGGUACUGGUCUUAGGUAUUUGUUCUGGUCAUUUCUGCUAAGCGGUAGUGGGUUCUUCUCAGAGAGACAUGCUUACCCUUAAAGACACGUGAUUUCCCCCCUUGCCUUUAUCGGAGAAGACAUUCGCCUCUAUAGUAAUGACUCUCAAAGUUGAAGAAGCUGUUCACCUGCUCAGAGAAUGAGGUCAUUCUGAGGUACACUCCUUAAUAGGAGAGUUAGAGAUCCUCUUUUGGGGACCUUUAGAGAAGGUCUCUGAGGCUUUCCCUUUUCUGGGGGAGUACUGCACCAAGCUUGAAGGGUGCAAGAUACUCCCCAGGGAUUGAUAUACUGAGGGGAAGGGAGGCUGUUGUUCUGACCUGGCUCUGAAGUGGGGAAAAAUGACUGCUCUACCAUCAACAGCCACAGCUUGAUUUUCUGGUCUUUUAGAGGCCUGGAUUUGAGGGCGAAACAGAAGUUACCCUUCUGCGCAAUGUGCAACUUCUCUAGGCAGCAAAUGCACUCAAGAGUGUCUGUUGUUGACCAGAAUGACCUCUACACAAGGCAGCAUUUAAAGUCCGGUGAACUGGGCAUAACCCUUGCAGGGACGAGCUCCCUGGAGGAAAUAAAACAAAUCUUUUAAAUAACCAGUUGAACUAACUACAAACUAACACACUCACUAACUAAAAGUAAAAUAAAUUAAGCUAUACCAAAGUAAGCAAGUAAGUGAGACAUGCCCAACGUGGAUACAGUAAGUUCUGUUUCAGGCCGAGGCAGCUGAGGAGGAACUGAAGGCAAUUCGCCUGCAAGCCUGAUAUAGCCUUGGUAUGGGGCAUGAGGAUCUCAACAGUGCAUGAACAGGUUGAAUGAACACUGCUAAUGAAAAUCUCCAAACAAAGACUCAUGAGGCACAUGCAUACCUGGCCACUGACCAAAGAAGAAUCUAAAUUAGUACACCUCUACCCCGCUAUAACACGACCUGAUAUAACAUGGGUUCACAUAUAGCGCGGUAGCAGCGGUGCUCGGCCAGUGAUUUAAAGGGCCCGGGCUCCCCACAGCGGCCGGAGCCUGGAGCUCUUUAAAUCACCGCUGGAGCCUUGCUGCUGCUACCCCAGGGCCGCAGCAGCGGGGCUCGGCCGGCGAUUUAAAGGGCCCGGGGCUCCGGCUGCUGCGGGGAGCCCCGCACCCUUUAAAUCACCGCUGGAGCCUUGCCGCCGCUAUCCAGGGGCUGCGGCAGCGGGGCUCAGCCGGUGAUUUAAAGGGCCUGGGGCUCCCCACAGCCAGAGCCCCAGGCUCUUUAAAUCACUGCUGGAGUCCUGCCACCGGUACCCCGAUAUAAUGGCGUUUCACCUAUAAUGCGGUAGGGAUUUUUGGCUCCCAACGACCACAUUAUAUCGGGGUAGGAGUAUAUAAGAUAAUACCAAAAUACCAAUACUCUCCCCAAUUUGACAUACCGUUACUAUGACAAACUCUGACCUCAGCAUACAGUGUACUGCCUUAGAUUCUGCUCAGUUAAAGCAUUUUAAAACGUAGCUUCAAGUAAAUAUUUUUUUCCCUUGCAUGUGCUGCAUCACAAGAAUUUUUUUUUUAAAACUGGGCCCACAAACAACAUACAAGUGCCUCAGCUGAUUGCUCCCCAGCCAGUCACUAAAUGCUAGCUCAGUUUUCCUCUAUCUUCACUGAGGAAAAUGGCUUAAAGCGUGGAUGGACUUCUCUUUUUAUGAAAACUGAAAAGCAGCAAAAAGAGAGUCAGGGUGAGCAUAUGCCCUUAAAAAACAAACAAACAAACCCACCCCACCACCAGCUACAGGUAUGUUAAUUUUUAACAUUUAAAGAUCCCUAACUGAUCCUCUCCGUUUCAUAGGCAGAAGAAGUGCUGUCCCUGACUGUUUGUAUAUCAACAGGAGUGAAGCCAGUCACAGGAGCUGUUGCAGAAAAAGCAGCUCCUGCUUGCAGAAAAAGAUGACUGCCAAUUCAAAGAACAGGAUCCAAGAGAGUUGUGGAGACAAGGGAGAUCAACUUUCCUCACCCCAAAGUAUCUGGGCAAUCUUGGGAGUGACUGAGGAUAAGACCCCACAGUGCCCAAAGACUGUAAGGGGAUGGUGAGACAUCAGCAACAGAUCAAAAUGUUCCCAAGAGGGGAAGAGGGGAGCAUCUACAUGCUGGGUGGUAUCCAGUUCACUAGCAAGACACUUGGGAAGCUCAAUAUGCAGGACUGGCUUCUCUGCAACUAGCCUGCAGAACUCCCCAGAAGCACUCCUCUUCAGUCAGUUCUCUAUAUUUUUGAGAAUAUUCUUGUGUUCUACCUACCCUCAACUGCAAUAGAGGGAGGAGUCAUAGGGUCAACUCCUUUCUCCAGCCAACUCAUACACCUUUAGGAGGUAUUUCAUCCCCAGCCCAUUCUAGACUUUUAAAGGGCAUGGAAGAGGUGUGUACUGGUGCUUCCCCCUUUUCCCUCUUUUGCAGCAGCUUUUUGAAGUAGAAGUUUGUUCCUUUGAAGGCAGGGGAUGCUAUUGUGGCUAGUUCACCUCUGGUGAUGAUAUAUGAAACUACCUGAGCAAGGUGGAACUUCUACCUGUGAAGGAGGUGCUAAGUCCGAAGCCCUAAAUAUCCAAAAUUAAGCUUUAAGAAUAACCAAAAUUGGCCAUUUACUUAACCUGACCCUCACUUAUACCAGAACUAAUAAUAAUGAGUGGAAACAAAUACUGCUUACUUUUUACCAUGUAAAGUCAUAAUUCAGGAACAAUUUUAAUCUUUCUACCAUGCAUAUGCAGUUGUUGAGCAACUUUUUUUUAAACACAAUUAUUGUACAAGUCAUAGCAUAGUUUAUGACAGGUACCAGUUUAACAGCCUCUCACUGACUGCCAAUUUUUCUGAAGUUGGAGAGCUGCAAGUACAGGUAAAAUACCUUUCUCAUUGAAAAAACUGCUUCAUGCACAAAAAUGCAGCAAGCUCAGUAUUUCCAAAUACAAAUUUUCUUGGGAUAGGACAAGGAUAUUUAAGAUAAUUGCUAAAAAAACUGGUGUUUAAAGAUAACUUUCACUUGUUGACAUACAAAGCUCAUACAAAUAUCAAACGAACAAGUAACAAUACUGGUACCACGAAAGAGUUACAUUUACUAGUACAAUCUAGGCUUAGUUGCAAUUUUAUAAACACUAUGUCUGCAUACAGACAACUAUUGCUGGAAGUCUAAAACUGAGAAUUGGCUAAAAACUGCAUUUGAAACUUAAUGAUCAAAUACUCAAGAAAAUAUUGGGCUUAGUAAUGCAGAUUUGUUUAAAAUCUUUACUUGACAUUUUUAGCAGCAUGAAUUCCAUCCACUAACCUCAAAAGAGCACACUCCUUUCCAGUGGUAUGUACUAAGAUAUCCUUGGAUUUUGAUUAGAAAUAUGACUAU